AUGAUGCAGCCGGAAGGUUUUGUCGAUCCUAAGAAUGCUGACAAGGUGUGCAAGCUCCAACGCUCGAUUUAUGGGCUGGUGCAAGCAUCUCGGAGUUGGAACAUUCGCUUUGAUGAGAUGAUCAAAGCGUUUGGGUUUAUGCAGACUUAUGGAGAAGCCUGCGUUUACAAGAAAGUGAGUGGGAGCUCUGUAGCAUUUCUCAUAUUAUAUGUAGAUGACAUACUUUUGAUGGGAAAUGAUAUAGAACUCUUAGACAGCAUUAAGGCCUACUUGAAUAAGAGUUUUUCAAUGAAGGACCUUGGAGAAGCUGCUUAUAUAUUAGGCAUCAAGAUCUACAGAGAUAGAUCAAGACGCCUCAUAGGUCUUUCACAAAGCACAUACCUUGAUAAGAUAUUGAAGAAGUUCAAUAUGGAUCAGUCUAAGAAGGGGUUCUUUCCUGUGUUGCAAGGUGUGAAAUUGAGCUCAGCUCAAUGUCCGACCACGGCAGAAGAUAUAGAAGAGAUG
rnacentral:rRNA from 1 species